UUAUUAUGGAAAGGGCCAAGUAGAAGCUUUUUGAACUUGCUAGGUUUUUCAGGAGCUAUAACUAAAAGCGGUAUCUACACCUGGGGGGAUUCCAGAGCUGGUCCCACCAACAAAGACUUUAAAGAUGCGGAGGCCCUGAACUCUAGCACAUUCACUGAAGUCCUGGUUUCACCUAUGUGGGAGGCAGAUGUGUAUUAGAAAAUGACUAUGAAGCUCUGCAACCCUGAUGAGGUGGAGACUCUAAUUGCAGCUGUCACAAGACACUGAAGUGCUGUUAGAGGAAAGCCCAAUAUCUCCUGACCUCGCUUGCCAGGAGUAACAGCCAAAGCAUUAGGAAGAUGGUUUCUCCUGCUCAAAUCUCAUGCCAGCACAUCUAGUUGGUGGAACCUACAUCUACUCCAGAACUCUAUCUGCAAAGGAGUCUGGGAAAUCUUACUGCUAACCUGGCUUGGUACAGAAAGGUGCACUAGAAGGAUGUGAAGGUGGCAACUGAGUGCCUGACCCACUGAGCCCAUCACAGCAGUGACCGUUACAGCUAGAGCCCCCUGAUGGCAUCAGAAGCAUCAAGAAGCUGCAAUUUGCUCUUUGGUGUGGUCCAACAGGAAGCUGAGAAGAAGGAGCAGGG